CCUUAAACCAACGUGUUACCUGCACGGCAAAGAGAAUAAGAGGGCAAACAGUUACAGAACUCUCAUAAACAGAGACUGCGAACAGCUUUAGAGAUUUGGGAGGCAGCAAAGAGCAGGGAGAACCUCGCUAAGAUGUGAUACUGUUAUUCACUUCCUGAUUACGGACUUGUUGAACCAUGCACUGGUCAACUGCCCUGCGUCGGUCUUGCAGGAGCUCCAUCAGUCCAUCCACUUUUCUGUAGCUGUUCCGGGCACCGCGUGCCCCACCUCCAUACCUCAGAGCCUCCUCGGCCUCGAAGCUCUUCAGAAAAUCCAACAACUCAUAACUUUUAUUCAGUGCCAGCAUGGACUUCUCCAGCAACCCUGAAGCCUGUCUCAAAAAUUCUCUCAGCGUCUUUUGAGUAAAUCACAGACGGAACUGAUUACAGUCAUCAGUAAUCACAGAGCGUGGUCGUAGAAGUGGCAGGCCAGCUGCAGGAGUGAGCGCCGUUUCUCCAAGUUGCUCUCUAACAUUUUCCAGGCCUCGCUGAGAGACAUAGCCAUGGCCUCGUACACAUCCUCCUCACCUUCCUUCUCUGCCGCUGUCUUAUCCGCCUCCUCCAGCAGCGCCCGCACGCCUCCUUCAUUUCUCUGUCACACAAAUUCAUAUUGCUUUGUGAAUCUGCAUCUUAUGCAAAUGCAAAACAGUUCCUCACAUCAGUGACAGAUCCCAACUGCAACAGAUCUGGAAUAAAACAGCAGCUCUAGUUCAAUACACAUGGAGGAUUCUUGACUUGGACACCUGACAGAGCAGAGAGUGAAGCAGCUGGCAUGAGACACACUGGAGAGUAGGAGCUAUAAUGAGGACUGGAAAAAAACGAACAGUGCAUUCUGGGGAAAUAAUAUAAAUCAGCAUUUGCUGGCAAGAGGAAGAGGACAUUCUGUGCAGGCGAAAGCAAUAAAAAUGAGAACAGCAAGUGAAACGAGGUGAGAAGGUCAUGAAUGGAGGAAAACCUGUAAGUGGGACAUGAUCCAGAGAUGGGUGUGUGGUGAUGAUGUUAUAAUAUUAAGACACAGGUUUAUGAGGAGACCUUCAAAACUACACUAAAUACACAUACUACACUAAAAAUAAUGGCAUGACGUGGAAUUUUCUCAGUCCUGUUAUAAGACAAUACAAAAAUAUACUCUUUUUUUUUUUUAAUUCAGGCAGCAUAAUCCUACCAUUUAUAAAAACAUGAAAACAUAAUUGGUACUGUUUAUUUUUUAAGCAAUUACUGAAGAAUAAAACCAAACAUCUAUUGCAAACCUUUAUCUCAAAAAGAAAGAAAAAAAGAAAAUAUAAUAAUGGAAAAUCUAAAACAUUAAUAAAAAAUGGUGAAAUGUUUUUUUUUUUUUUAAAAAAAGCAUUAAAUGCUUCUGUUGUGCUAGAGAAUAAAGCAAGAUCAUAUAAAAAUAAUCAUAUUUCCUUUUCAGAUUUCUCCACUUACCCCAAAUAUAGGUGAUUAGUCAAAAAUUUAAGCAAACAUGUUUGCUUGUUUUGUUUUGCAAAGGAGCUCACAAGUAAUAAAUGUCUUUCUCACUCUAGUCUUAGCCUCAGACACUCCUCCAAGCCUAACAUUAACCUUUAUAUUUUUAACUAUAAUUCAAUUCAAUUCAAUUUUAUUUGUAUAGCACUUUUUACAAUGGACAUUGUCUCAAAGCAGCUUUACAAAUGAAGAUAAACAGAGAAAGAAGAGGGGGAAUAAUAAAUAAAUAAAUAACUAGAAAUGAAAAAUUAUUAAAUUAAAUUUUAUCCUUAUUUAUUUUAUCCCUAAUGAGCAAGCCUGUGGCGAUGGUGGCAAGGAAAAACUCCCUGAGAUGAUAUGAGGAAGAAACGUUGAGAGGAACCAGGCUCAGAAGGGAACCUCAUCCUCAUUUGGGUGACACUGGACAGUAAAUAAUGUAACUGUAACUGAUUAAUGUCCUUUCUAUAACAGCAAUCAAUGGCCCAUGAGGAACUAUUAAGUCAGUGUAGUUUCUGAGGUUCUAAUUGGCUAUCUACAAAUCCAUGUAUACUCUCUUUGGUUUUUCCAAUUCAGAAAGAAUCACAGAAUUCCAUCUUUAUAUGUUAUCAAAGAAAAUGAGUAAACAAGAACUUUGAGAGAUACCUAUGGGAAAAUAAUGUAUGCAUGUGGCUGUUCAUCGGUCACGUCAUUGAAAUGGCCUCUUCCUGUCAAAGUAAGUUGACCACUAGGGAAGUGAAGCUAGAAGAUGGGCUUGUAUGAUUAACAUCAGUCUAGUUCUUAUGACUCUUAUGUAAAAUUAACAGUAAUAUACCUACCUGCUUGGUGUCUUGCAGCAGAGGGGCUGAAUCCUGAGCAGGGAGAGCUCAUGGUGCAAAGCAAAGACACAUUUUAGGUGAAUCUUAUUUUUAUACAUCUGAGUAGUUAAGGGUUAAGGGCCUCAAGGGCCCAGCAGAAGCAGCUUGGCAGGGCUGGGAUUUGAACUUAUGACCUUCUGGUCAGAAGAGCAACAUUUUAACCACUGCUGAGGUUACUGUGCUGAAAACUCACACAGAAACCCAAAAUAAAAAUAUCACAUUGUUCUCUUAAGCCUGCCUCCAGCAUUCUCAUUCUCUUCACAGUUAUACAACAGUUAUAUUUAUAUAUGUCCCUUUCUUUAAAUAUAUAGCAAAGAUGUAAUAUAGCAGGUAGAGUUCAGAUUUACACAUUUAAUUAUAACUAGAAAUGGAACUAAAUCAUCAUCAUCAUCAUCAUCCACCCGCCAAACUUUGGGAGUCGAAGCCUAGGGAGUGGAACGAAACCCAAUUUUAAGAGAGAUCGUGAAUAAUUCUGGUUUCUUGAGAUAGCCGCCUCCAUAAUGUCACAGCUUUCAGCUACACAGUGAAGAUUUGCUCAGGAAUACAGACGACAGUAAAUCACACCGUGUCCUUAAGCACAUCCCUGAAAAUAGUUUGAGGCAGAUAGGUACAGGAAAGAUUUUCUGUACCAGAUAAACGUUCACUGCAUGUUAUCUACCCUAGCCACAUAGCAUUGGUGCAUAUUUUAAGAAGCGCAAUAACACUGCAACAUGUCUUGACAUGAAUGAAACAUUACAUCGGAGGGAAAGCAUUCUUGCUGCUGCUACUGUUGUGGUUAUUUCAUAUUAUUUACUCAGAUAUU